CCUUCGAUAGCUCAGUUGGUAGAGCGGAGAACUGUAGAUCCUUAGGUCGCUGGUUCGACUCCGGCUCGAAGGA
rnacentral:tRNA from 1 species